GAACGAGACCUUAACCUGCUAAAUAGAGAUGCGAACCUGUGUUCGUAAGCUCUUCUUAGAGGGACUGACUACGUUUAGUGGUCGGAAGUUUGAGGCAAUAACAGGUCUGUGAUGCCCUUAGAUGUUCUGGGCUGCACGCGCGCUACACUGACAGAGGCAGCGAGUAUACAACCUUGACCGGAAGGUCUGGGCAAUCUUUUUAAACUCUGUCGUGCUGGGGAUAGAGCAUUGCAAUUAUUGCUCUUCAACGAGGAAUUCCUAGUAAGCGCAUGUCAUCAGCAUGCGUUGAUUACGUCCCUGCCCUUUGUACACACCGCCCGUCGCUACUACCGAUUGAAUGGCUCGGCCCGUGCCCCCGCCCCGCCCGCCGCGCGCGGCGGGGGA
rnacentral:rRNA from 1 species